GUGCCAGCAGCCGCGGUAAUACGGGGGGUGCAAGCGUUAAUCGGAAUUACUGGGCGUAAAGCGCACGCAGGCGGUUUGUUAAGUCAGAUGUGAAAUCCCCGGGCUCAACCUGGGAACUGCAUUUGAAACUGGCAAGCUAGAGUCUCGUAGGGGGGGGUAGAAUUCCAGGUGUAGCGGUGAAAUGCGUAGAGAUCUGGGGGAAUACCGGUGGCGAAGGCGGCCCCCUGGACGAAGACUGACGCUCAGGUGCGAAAGCGUGGGGAGCAAAAAGGAUUAGAUACCCUGGUAGUCC
rnacentral:rRNA from 1 species